GGCCUCGUAGCUCAGCUGGAUUAGAGCAACAGCCUUCUAAGCUGUGGGUCGAGGGUUCGAGUCCUUCCGAGGUCG
rnacentral:tRNA from 1 species